rnacentral:rRNA from 1 species
GACGAACGCUGGCGGCGUGCUUAACACAUGCAAGUCGAACGGAAGGGCCCUGCUCUUGUGGGGUGCUCGAGUGGCGAACGGGUGAGUAUCACGUGAGUAACCUGCCCUUGACUUUGGGAUAACUUCAGGAAACUGGGGCUCAUACCGGAUAGGAGCUCCUGCUGCAUGGUGGUGGUUGGAAAGUUUCGGCGGUUGGGGAUGGACUCGCGGCUUAUCAGCUUGUUGGUGGGGUAGUGGCUUACCAAGCCUUUGACGGGUAGCCGGCCUGAGAGGGUGACCGGCCUCAUUGGGACUGAGAGACGGCGCAGACUCGUAUGGGCGGCAGCAGUGGAGAAUAUUACACAGUGGGCGGAAGCCAGAGGUAGCAACGCCGCGUGCGGGAUGACCGCCUUCGGGUUGUAAACCGCUGUCGCCUGUGACGAAGCGUGAGUGACGGUAAUGGGUAAAGAAGCACCGGCUAACUACGUG